rnacentral:rRNA from 1 species
GAGUUUGAUCCUGGCUCAGGAUGAACGCUGGCGGCGUGCUUAACACAUGCAAGUCGAACGAAGCACUGGUGAUUGAUUCUUCGGAUGAAAGAAGCAGUGACUUAGUGGCGGACGGGUGAGUAACGCGUGGGUAACCUACCUCACACAGGGGGAUAACAGUUGGAAACGACCGCUAAUACCGCAUAACCCGCUAGGGCCGCAUGGCCCGGACGGAAAAGAUUUAUCGGUGUGAGAUGGACCCGCGUCUGAUUAGAUAGUUGGCAGGGUAACGGCCUACCAAGUCGACGAUCAGUAGCCGGCCUGAGAGGGUGAACGGCCACAUUGGGACUGAGACACGGCCCAAACUCCUACGGGA